GCGAAUCUGGUACCGGGACUUGGGGAGCGAGGGAUGCAACAUGGUGCAUCUGGGAGGCCUGCUAACUGGCUAACUUCUCCGGCGUUCCUCCCGGCCGAGGCGUGGGCACAGAAUAGCGCAGGUGAGGCCCAGAUAUGGUGUCUCGAUACGGCGCGGAAGUUUGAAGACAUCAUUUUCCAGUUUUGGAGCCGACUAAUGAACUAGUUCUUAAGUGAAAGGCAUUUAACACGACUGUGCAUCUACAGGUACUAGGUUUCCAAGAUGCCUUUCCAGACUAAAACCCACACAUGUGAGCCGCUGGCCGGACAAACAUCUGGCACCUAACGUGGGGCUGAAAAACAGCAGAGGACAUUUGGAAGAAACACUGCUGGUUUGGAGCUCCAUAGAAGAAGAAAAUAAUUAAAGGAAAUUCAUACCAGAGAAGGUUUCCAAGAUGCCUUUCCAGACUAAAACCCAGACAUGUGAGCCGCUGGCCGGACACAACAGGAUCUUUUCUAAAAUGAAUCCCUACAGCCUUGAUUAAUAAGGACGCACCUGCCACAGAUUAUAUAAUAAUCUGAAGCAGGCCGUUUCAGAAUGAUCACCUGCUAGUUAUUAGCUUGUCCCAUUAUGGCUCCUGACAAUUGGGCAAAUCUAAUACACUACUAACUUAUUUCCCAACACUAUGACUCCUUAUUACUUAUGGUUUCUCCUGGACACGAGGUUCUGGUCCAUAUGGCUUCCUCCUCCCCUCUUCUUUCUUUCUGUUUUUUCCUCUACCAGCCACCCCCUUUUGAGCCUCUGGUCCAACCUUUCCCCUCCAGUACCCAAUCCUAGGCUCUAACUUUUUAUUGACCAAUUAAAAUAGAAAGAAGGUUCACAUGGCAUCACCUAAGUACAUGAUGGCCUGCGUGUGGGGUCUGACUUUUAAUACAAAUCUAAAUAAUGUUAGUUAUUUAAAUGUGUGUCUUACUAUAUUUCUUUUGUUUUUGUUUUUUGAGACAGGGUUUCUCUGUGUAGCCCUGGCUUUCCUGGAACUCACUCUGUAGACCAGGCUGGCCUCCAACUCAGAAAACCGCCUGUCUCUGCCUCCCAAGUGCUGGGAUUAAAGGCAUGCGCCACCUCUCCCCGGCUUCUUACUAUAUUUCUUACACAGCUGUUUUCCAAAUGUGCAUUUAUCUAGUCUGCUGUAGAAGCAUAGAAUAUGUAUUGUUAAUGGUGUAUUUCUUGCCAGUCAUCCUUUUUUUUUUUUUUUUUUUUGUAGACCAGGCUACCCUCGAAAUCACAGAUCUCCCUGCCCUUAAAUAUAUUUAAGUGGAUCUUCGCUUCCUCCUCUAUCCUUUAUCCUAACAGGCAGGCUUCCUCUGAUUUGGGACUAAAUAGGCUUUCUUUUUAUUGUUUCCAGUUUGUGUUCUUUCACGUGAGUUGGGUGUGCUCAGAAUUGGCUGUCAUACUGCAUGAAAGAUUCAGCCAGAGUCUGAGAAAUGGGUGGGGAUUUUGUUCAAUUGUUUUUGCAUAUAUCUUGUAUGAUUUUUCUAUGUAGUCAAACCAUCAUUACCAAGAAGUCAAGUUUGCACUAGGAUGAGGACCUUAAGACAAUAUCUGGUAGGGCCGUAGUCUGACCCUCAGUCUGGAGUUGGAAGUGUAGUUAGACUAACGCUGUAGACAGACAUUUGAAAGAGUGAAUUACUAAUGUAAUCCAGUUUUGGAUAUUGUUACUCAUAUAUCUCUAUGAAGAUAAAUGAAUUGUUUUACUAAUGUCACUUAAACAAAUUUUGUACUUGUUAAUAUUACUUAAAAAAACAUGUAGAGUAGACAGGAUGUGAAUCUAGUAUACCAUUUGCCAUAGAAACUGCAUUUGUAUGCCUGUGUCCAUAUAUUUGACUUUGGAUAUUUAUAGCAUCUAAAUACAUAUUUUUUGCAUUAA
rnacentral:lncRNA from 1 species